CAGCAGCCGCGGUAAUACGAAGGGUGCAAGCGUUAAUCGGAAUUACUGGGCGUAAAGCGUGCGUAGGCGGUUUGUUAAGUCUGCUGUGAAAUCCCCGGGCUCAACCUGGGAAUGGCAGUGGAUACUGGCAAGCUAGAGUGUGUCAGAGGAUGGUAGAAUUCCCGGUGUAGCGGUGAAAUGCGUAGAGAUUGGGAGGAACAUCAGUGGCGAAGGCGGCCAUCUGGGACAACACUGACGCUGAGGCACGAAAGCGUGGGGAGCAAACAGGAUUAGAUACCCCGGUAGUCCCUGUCUCUUAUAC
rnacentral:rRNA from 1 species